rnacentral:rRNA from 1 species
GACGAACGCUGGCGGCGUGCCUAACACAUGCAAGUCGAACGGAGUUCCUGAGAAUUGAAGCUUCGGCAGAUUUUUUCUUGAACUUAGUGGCGGACGGGUGAGUAACGCGUGAGGAACCUGCCUUCCAGAGGGGGACAACAGUUGGAAACGACUGCUAAUACCGCAUAAUGCACAUUUUUCGCAUGAAUUAUGUGCCAAAGAUUUUAUCGCUGGAAGAUGGCCUCGCGUCUGAUUAGAUAGUUGGUGAGGUAACGGCCCACCAAGUCUGCGAUCAGUAGCCGGACUGAGAGGUUGAACGGCCACAUUGGGACUGAGACAUGGCCCAG